rnacentral:lncRNA from 1 species
GGAAUAUCACUUUCAUCAAAUUUAUGGAGAGAAUGUACUUCUACUACCUGAUUUGGAGUGGGAAGUUCAUAUAAUUCUUCAAUAGGAGGUAGAGUCUUCACAUCUUUAACUUUAAUAGCUUUCUCUAUCCAUGAUUUCAUAGAUUCUUGCAUAUCUUUAGGUAGGCCUGGGCGUUCGGUAGAAACUGAAAAUUCGGUUUUUAUCAUUUGGUUUAUUUCCAAAUUCGGUUAGCAACACACAAAACC